rnacentral:lncRNA from 10 species
GCGGCAACAACGAAGCCUUGUCUAUAGUCAACAGUCAAUAAAAGUUAGUUGCUGUUGUUACUUCUUUAGGAAGUUAGGAAAUGCGCCUUGAGAGCGUGGCUUGCACCAACGAUGCUUGAAUUCAGGCUGGGCCACCUCCCCUAUGUCCACUGCCCGCCUCUGUUCUUCUACACCGACUACCUUGUGCAAAGGAGGGGCACACAGAGCUUGAAACCACCGCCCCCAGUACUCCCCCUCUCCCCCAAGAUGACACAGUGCUGUUUAUGUUGGCCAGCACCCAAUAAGCAAAUAAUGGGAAAUUGAUUAUUGAUUAUUUCCUCAUUCCCAAGUGAAAAGGAGAAAGGCGUAUCCUCAAAUGAAGCCUUGUCUCUGUGAAAUUCCUGAUAAAUCGUCAUUUUAUGGAAUGCCACAGGAAGAAGUUUUCUUUACAAGUUCUGAAGACUUGUGAUGAAUGAGUCCAUAGUUUCACCUUUGAAAAUGUCCCUGGGAGUGUCAACCCCAUCACUUUUACUUAUAUUACACUCAUAAUCAGUUCAUCUCGCCAAGAAAAAUAAUAUUAUCCUCAUGCCCAAACUUGUGACUUGAUUUGAAAACCAGUAAAUCAGAAAUAAAACUUCCCAUGUGUUUUUUUCCUACAUGAAUCCAAGUGACUCAGAUAUUGUGUUAUUCAAUAAGACUAUUACCAUGACUCAGGUAAAAGGGCCGUUUAUAUUUUCUGAAGUCUCAAGUCUAGGGUCCAAAAUAAAACUAGCAUCUUUUAUAGAAUAAUUUUUCUCUAAAAUGAAAUGUGUAUGU